ensembl:snRNA
ACAUUUUAUGAAAGGAGAGAAGGUUAGCACUCCCCUUCACAAGGAUGCAAGAGGCCCCUGGGCUGAAUAACAUACGUAUGGUUGGCUAAGGCAUUUCCACCAUCCUUUUGGGGGUUAUUAGAUGCAAACAACAGCAUUUG